AGUUGUUAGAAUGUAUUAGCAAUUUUUUUUGCUCAAUGCAUAAGUUAAUAGCUGCAGUAUUCUGACUGUACUAAGGUAGCAUAAUCAAUAGCCUUUUAAUUGGAGGCUGGAAUGAAAGGUUAAUACUGUGUAAGUGGUUUUAUUAAUUAAGUUUGAAAUUAAUUUAAAAGUAAAAAAGCUUUUAUUAACCCUUGGGACGAGAAGACCCUAGAAGCUUUAAUGAUAUAUUAUUUUGGUUGGGGUGAUCGUUGAAGAUAUAAAUCUUUAAUUUUGAAAUAUGUUUUAUAUAAGUUACUCUAGGGAUAACAGCGUAAUUUUUUUUUUGAGUUCUUAUUUAAAAAAUGGUUUGCGACCUCSAUGUUGAAUUAAAUGAAAGUAAGGKGAAGGAGCUUUGAGUUUUUAGUCUGUUCGACUAUUAAAUUUUUACA
rnacentral:rRNA from 1 species